rnacentral:lncRNA from 1 species
GGCUCGCUCCGGUCCCAACUUUCGCCUUUUCUGCUUUACCGGUUUAUAGGUUGAGUCGACGUUAAGCUCGUGCGUAACGAUCAUAGGGUCGAUGCCUAUCAUGUCGUCUACGCUCCAGGCGAACGUCUUAGAAUUCUUUUUUAGGAACGCGAUGAGUGGUUCUUUAACCGAUGGUACUAUCUCGGCCCCAAUUGCGACGCAUCUUGUCUUAUCCGUCUCGUCAAUAUUCACUUGUUCUGUUCUGCUCAGUUGAGGCUCUUCGAGGGACUUUUUUAGGGUCGGGACGGUCGACGAUGUUGGCAUCGUUAAUUGCUAUAACUUCUUAGCGACGCGGUUCUUGUGUUCGAUGAGAAAACAUGUUCUUGCGAUCUGUUGAUUCCCUCUCAAGGUGAACACUCCGUUGUGCGUCGGGAACUUGAUGCACUGGUGGUACGUGGACGGGAUCGCCUGCAUUUGAUGCAUCCAGG